ensembl:lncRNA
CAUCAUUCAACACUUUAACAUGGCGAGCGGCGGUGAAGCGAAGCUACAGUACGAGGAAGCGCCGGCGUCUUUCAAAUCCGUGGUGUGGAGACAUUUCGGUUUUGCCGUUGAGUAUAAUGCCGAGGAAGAAAAAACGGUAAACAAAAAAAUGACUAUCUGCAAGCAUUGUUUUACACGUGUAGCCUACUCAAACGGAAACACUUCCAACAUGACUGCACAUCUGCGGCGCCAUCACCCAGCAAUAUCACUGUCUGAAGGCAGGAUAUCAGAGCAGCACCGAGAUAAUUCCCGAC